AGAGUUUGAUCCUGGCUCAGAAUGAACGCUGGCGGCGUGUUUAAGACAUGCAAGUCGCACGGGGGAAUGUGAGUAGCAAUACGAAUGUUCUUCAGUGGCGCACGGGUGCGUAACACGUGAGUUACAUGCCCUGCAGAGGGGGAUAGCCCAGGGAAACUUGGAUUAAUACCCCAUGGUCUCGCAAGAGUAAAGGUGGCGAAAGCUGCCGCUGCAGGAUUGGCUCGCGGCCUAUCAGCUAGUUGGUGAGGUAACGGCUCACCAAGGCUACGACGGGUACCUGGUCUGAGAGGACGAUCAGGCACACUGGAACUGAGACACGGUCCAGACACCUACGGGUGGCAGCAGUCGAGAAUCAUUCACAAUGGGGGCAACCCUGAUGGUGCAACGCCGCGUGGAGGAUGAAGGUCUUCGGAUUGUAAACUCCUGUCAUCUAGGAGCAAGGCAUGGUGGUGAAUAGCCAACAUGAUUGAUAGUACUAGAAGAGGAAGGGACGGCUAACUUCGUGCCAGCAGCCGCGGUAAUACGAAGGUCCCGAGCGUUAUUCGGAAUCACUGGGCGUAAAGGGAGCGUAGGCGGCGUGGAAAGUCAGAUGUGAAAUCCCGGGGCUCAACCCCGGAACUGCAUCCGAUACUACCAUGCUAGAGUAUUGGAGGGGUAACUGGAAUUCUCGGUGUAGCAGUGAGAUGCGUGGAUAUCGAGAGGAACACCUGUGGCGAAAGCGAGUUACUGGACAAUUACUGACGCUGAGGCUCGAAGGCUAGGGGAGCAAAAGGGAUUAGAUACCCCUGUAGUCCUAGCAGUAAACGGUGCACGCUUGGUUUGAGGGGAAUCGACCCCCUUCGAGCCGGAGCAAACGCGUUAAGCGUGCCGCCUGGGAAGUACGGUCGCAAGACUAAAACUCAAAGGAAUUGACGGGGACCCGCACAAGCGGUGGAGUAUGUGGCUUAAUUCGAUGCAACGCGA
rnacentral:rRNA from 1 species